rnacentral:lncRNA from 1 species
CUGAAGUUAUCUUGGGCUGGUGAUUUCGAAUCUUUAAAACGUGUUGUUAGUGAUUAUAUAAAAUUUGACGGGAGAUGGACUUCGCCCGGAGGAGAGAAGAAAGUUUGCAGUAAUCCAGAUACAUCUAUCACCUGGUGGAAAAAUAAAAAUUCCUUCUGAAAGCUGAAAGGAUAAUUGAACUAUUUAUUGUAAUUUUAACGAAUAUUGCUUCGUUUCGCCCUUCAGAUCGGCCGGGUAAUAUAAACAUAGAUCUCCCGAAUUCAGAUAAAAUUAAUCUUGUUAGUUCCUGUUCGUGCAAAUGUAACAAUUUGACUGUUGAUAUCGAAGGAAUAAAACUAGAUAACGUCGAGGAUGGAACAUAAAACCAACACUAACACUGAAAUUAUCAAUAAUGUACAACAAGAGUUGCUUAAGUUGCAGAGUAAAGGCGGUUUUCCACUAGGCGAAAUUUUUCGACCGAAUCGAAAUUUCUCUUUGUUUAUGAGCUCUCGAGCAGAACUAAUUGUAAAAAGACAAAGAGAAAUUUCGUUUCGGUCGAAAAAUUCCGCCUCGUGGAAUCCGGCCUUAAAUGUGACAUGUUAGCAGAUCGAGUGGG